GGAAUAGCUAACACUAAGGCGGCUCGAGGUCACAUCUGACAUUGGCUAUCUCCCAUUUCUCGUCACCAUCUAUCAGUGGCCACAUGACACAGCAGUAUCUCCAAGCAACGUACAGUGAAUUCAGCAAAAGUUGCAGUGGACAGCACUAAAAGUGCAGUGCUGUGAAACGAUUGAAUAUUUCCAGUCACCUGAUGCAAAGCCAGCUCCAUUCAUCCAAAUGUCAUCACUGCCAAGUUUAGAAAUUUCCCUUCCGUUUCAUCGUAGACAGUCGCAGACAAAGGGACUGAAAUGUCAAUCGAGCCAGAGUGAUCAGUAGAUACAGGACAUAUCAGCUUGUGUCUUCAUGGACCAUUUCCCGUAGGUGAGCCCCAUCAUUUUGUGACAUCUAGAUGCUAAUCCAGCUCCAUGGGUGGAGCGGAGAAGACGAUUGAGCAGUCGAGCAUCAUAAGGUUUAAAAUUAACAGAUAAUUACAGUGUGUCUCAUAGAUUCUUGAUAUAUCUGAAUAGAUCGCUGGACGGGCUGCUGUUAAGAUUGAUUUGAUGGAGUCUGGAUGGCUACCUGUGGAGGAACAGUUGCGUAAUUAGCAUUUUGGAUGCUCAGUAACAGAAGUGAAAUUACUGCCAUUGAAGAUUUGUAAAUUUAAGAUAAAGAUUUCUGCUUUUUAAAGUUAAAACUUACAGGCAAAUAUUGUGUGAUUAGAAUUUGGAAUCCAGAGCACUAAAUGAUCUAACAGCAAUGCAAAGUAAAACGAAACUCUUUUGUAACUCCCUUUGUAACAUUUUGGUGUGCAAACAAGGAGUUGGCAAAGAAAAUUCUUAGUUCCAUCUAAUGCAUGACCCACUUUGUGGUUAUUUUGCAUUUCAGAGACUAGAUAUUC
rnacentral:lncRNA from 1 species